rnacentral:misc_RNA from 1 species
AUUGCAGAUUCCGUGAUCAUCGAAUCUUUGAACGCACCUUGCGCUCCAUGGCAUUCCGUGGAGCAUGCCUGUUUGAGUGCCGCGAAAUCUCCCACCCCUAGCGGUUGCCGCAAGGCGCCGCCGGGCGGCGGGGUUGGUUGGGUGCCGCUGCCUGGGCUUUGGCCCAGGCUCGCCCGAAAUGCAUGAGCGCUUAGCACUCGCACCGUCUCGAGGGAAGGCGGCGGAGCUGGCAUCUGCGCAUGGCAUGAUACGUCAUUUGCUGUGUGGCAGCCCAGCGACCCGAGAGUGUGUGUGCGCUACUACACGCCCUUUCAUUUCUGGUCUCAAAUCAGGUAGGAUCACCCGCUGAACUUAAGCAUAUCAAUAAGCGGACGAA